rnacentral:lncRNA from 1 species
ACCUUAUUCAUUCAGCUGUGACUUGCAGAAGGAUCUGAGCAGGUGCUGAGAUGUCUAUGCAGGCAAGUCUGAGGUUAGCCUCCCAGAGUUUCGGGGAAAAGCACACAGGCAUUCCUGAACACUCUGAGAGGUGCAGAAAAGUGGCUGAGCAGACAGACACAAGGUCUGGCAUGGAGGCAGAGGAUCACAGCGGAGCAUGGACCUAACAGCUGGAUGCCGUGUGGUGAUAUCACUAUCAGCAGAAGAUGCAACAAGACCGGGGCCACUGCUCAAGGCCAGAGAAACAGGUUUGUAGGGGCCAGUGGGUCAGCGGUGACCAUAGAAGACAGUCUUCUCUACUUUGAUAGCAAAACAAUGCGUAAGGCACCUGAGGAACUCAGAUUACAACCAGGGAGAAGAAAAUCAGAGGUACAAGGUGGGAUGCAUCCUGAAUUGGUAGAGGAGAUACCCCAGAGUGUUCUACCAGAGUUGACAGAAUUACCUUGAAUAAAUAAGAAGAAGGUAUUUUAUUACCAACAGUCUCAUGGGCUAAGUUUAAGUACAGAGGAAUAAAGUUAUAUCUUUACACACUUGGGUGUGUGACAAUGUAAAAUGUCAACAUUAUACUUCCCAAUGGACUAUGCCAUGCAGAAGGCAGAAAGAAGUCAAAAGCCUGUUCUUUUUUUUCCCAUUCCAUAGUAAAUAGCAGAAAUUAUUCCCUUUGUUAAUCUAAGCAUACACCAGUCUGUAGGUUCAUAAUGAGAAAUAACUUUUUGUUCUUUGAUUUUUUUAAACAAAAUAUAGAAUUUAUAAGACAAACCCUUUUUGGUUUGUGUUUUAUUCCACCUUCUUUUAGCUAGAUUUGAAUGAAAGCAAAAUAAAGCUAUGUAUUGAAUAAAUAUGUUAACUCCACAGUAUUUUUGAAUAUAUAUUUUUCAUGGUAUAGUUCCAACUUUCAUUGGUGAUAUUGAUAUGAAAGUCAGAUUUACUGAGAGGUAAUGUUCAGCCUUGGAAGCAUCACCAAAAUGUGUAUAUAAGGCCUUUGUCCACUAAUGAGUGUCCUUUUAUGUGACUGGUUUUGUAAAGCCUUACACUGUGAAUGGACCGUCAAUCAACUCGCAGCUGCACUGAGGCCUUCGGAUGGCUGUAUCCAUGGCAACGUGCCAAAAAUGGCGGCGCAAAUUAAUCCAUUUGUGUGAAAUUCUCAGUGAGAGUCCACUUUCAUCUUUCAGAAACUACUGUUAGGAAGUCUGAUGAUAAUGUAAAAUACUAAGCAAAAGCAAAAUAGUGAUGGACUAUCCACAGGAUCUUCUCCCUGUAAACAGUGGGACUUCUUUUCCUUUUUAUCUGCUAGAGAUGACAGAGCAGAGUUGGGGAUGUAAUAUUACCACCAUAAUGUUCUUUUUACAAAAAAAGUUACAUUAAUUUAAUGUUCACAUAUAGGCUUCUUUUUCACCUUCUCUCACAAUGCUAUCUAAUCAGCCUGGAAAAUAAGUACAAUGAUUUACACAGUGGUA